rnacentral:tRNA from 1 species
GCUUGGUUGGCUCAGUCAGUAGAGCAUGUGACUCUUGAUCUCAGGGGUGUGAGUUCAAGCCCCACAUUGGGCA